AGCAAAAAUUCCGGUAAAUCAAGCCUGCGUAGAAUACUUGACUUUUCCAUGUGCAAGACCACAAAAAGUAUUCCCCCCUAAAGCUCAGCUCUGCGAAGGCCUUUCGGAGAUUGACCUUUCUUUCUCUUCUUCCCGGUCUGAUCGGUCGAGCUCUCGUAAUCGAUCGCUCAUAUGUCCAUUUCGUUCUGGCUAGCGCUCAUCUCCAGCUCUGUUUCCAACCUUUCAUUU
rnacentral:lncRNA from 1 species